GGGCCGGUGGUCUAGCGGUAUGAUGCCGCCCUUACGAGGCGGAGGUCGUGGGUUCAACUCCCACCCGGCCCACCA
rnacentral:tRNA from 1 species